GAUGAACGCUGACAGAAUGCUUAACACAUGCAAGUCAACUUGAAUUUGGGUUUUUAACUUAGGUUUGGGUGGCGGACGGGUGAGUAACGCGUAAAGAACUUGCCUCACAGCUAGGGACAACAUUUGGAAACGAAUGCUAAUACCUAAUAUUAUGAUAAUAGGGCAUCCUAUAAUUAUGAAAGCUAUAAGCGCUGUGAGAGAGCUUUGCGUCCCAUUAGCUAGUUGGAGAGGUAACGGCUCACCAAGGCGAUGAUGGGUAGCCGGCCUGUGAGGGUGAUCGGCCACAAGGGGACUGAGACACGGCCCUUACUCCUACGGGAGGCAGCAGUGGGGAAUAUUGGACAAUGGACCGAGAGUCUGAUCCAGCAAUUCUGUGUGCACGAUGAAGUUUUUCGGAAUGUAAAGUGCUUUCAGUUGGGAAGAAACAAAUGACGGUACCAACAGAAGAAGUGACGGCUAAAUACGUG
rnacentral:rRNA from 1 species